GACGAACGCUGGCGGCGUGCCUAAUACAUGCAAGUCGAACGAACUCUGGUUUUUGAUUGACGGUGCUUGCACCUGAUUGAUUAAACAUUUGAGCGAGUGGCGAACUGGUGAGUAACACGUAGGAAACCUGCCCAGAAGCGGGGGAUAACACCUGGAAACAGAUGCUAAUACCGCAUAACAACUCGAACCGCAUGGUUCGAGUUUGAAAGAUGGCUCUGCUAUCACUUCUGGAUGGUCCUGCGGCGUAUUAGCUAGAUGGUGAGGUAACGGCUCACCAUGGCAAUGAUACGUAGCCGACCUGAGAGGGUAAUCGGCCACAUUAGGACUGAGACACGGCCCAAACUCCUACGGGAGGCAGCAGUAGGGAAUCUUCCACAAUGGACGAAAGUCUGAUGGAGCAACGCCGCGUGAGUGAAGAAGGGUUUCGGCUCGUAAAACUCUGUUGUUAGAGAAGAACAUAUCUGAGAGUAACUGUUCAGGUAUUGACGGUAUCUAACCAGAAAGCCACGGCUAACUACAUGCCAGCCGCCGCCGUAA
rnacentral:rRNA from 1 species